UACGUAGGAGGCAAGCGUUGUCCGGAAUUACUGGGUGUAAAGCGCGUGUAGGCGGCCGGCCAAGUCUGUGGUGAAAUCGCUCGGCUCAACUGGGCGGGGUCCAUGGAAACUGGUCAGCUGGAGGACGGUAGAGGUGAGUGGAAUUCCCGGUGUAGUGGUGAAAUGCGUAGAGAUCGGGAGGAACACCCGUGGCGAAGGCGGCUCACUGGGCCGGUACUGACGCUGAGACGCGAAGGCGUGGGGAGCGAACGGG
rnacentral:rRNA from 1 species